GGAAUUGGCGGGGGAGCACCACAAGAGGUGGGACCUGCGGUUCAAUUGGAUUCAACGCCGGAAAACUCACCAGGGGCGACAGCUGGUUGACGGCCAGAUUGACGAUCUUGCCCGACUAGCUGAGAGGUGGUGCAUGGCCAUCGUCAGCUCGUACCGUGAGGCGUCCUGUUAAGUCAGGCAACGAGCGAGAUCCUCGCCCUUAGUUGCCAUCGGUGGAAAGCCGGGCACUCUAGGGGGACCGCUGGCGCUAAGUCAGAGGAAGGAGAGGGCGACGGUAGGUCAGUAUGCCCCGAAUCCCCUGGGCUACACGCGGGUCACAAUGCGCAGGACAAUGAGAUGCAACCCCGUAAGGGGAAGCCAAACCCAUAAACCUGCGCUCGGUUCGGAUCGAGGGCUGUAACUCGCCCUCGUGAAGCUGGAAUCUCUAGUAAUCGCGUGCCAACACCGCGCGGUGAAUGCGUCCCUGCUCCUUGCACACACCGCCCGUCAAGCCACUCGAGUGGGGUUUGGAUGAGGUCAGUUCAAGUUGUGCUGCUCGAAUCCGAGUUCUGCAAGAGGGGCUAAGUCGUAACAAGGUAACC
rnacentral:rRNA from 1 species